rnacentral:lncRNA from 1 species
CGGCAGCAAUAACAGAAGAGACUGCACCAAGGCAUUAGACGUUAGAAACCAAUCCAGCAGGAAAAGACUGAAUAGAGUUAAAAGAAAAGACUUACCAAUCACUUCUCCAGCAUGAACAGACUGCCCACCUACGCUAGUCAAAGAAGGAUCUAAUACAGGCAGAAUAGACAUUAGAAAUCAAUCAUCAGGACAGAACGAAUCCCAGACAGAAUCAGAAAAUCUACCUUCUAUAAUUUGCG